rnacentral:rRNA from 1 species
CCUACGGGUGGCUGCAGUGGGGAAUAUUGGACAAUGGGCGAAAGCCUGAUCCAGCCAUGCCGCGUGUGUGAAGAAGGCCUUCGGGUUGUAAAGCACUUUCAGUGGGGAAGAAAGCCUUGGGGCUAAUACCCUCGAGGAAGGACAUCACCCACAGAAGAAGCACCGGCUAACUCCGUGCCAGCAGCCGCGGUAAUACGGAGGGUGCGAGCGUUAAUCGGAAUUACUGGGCGUAAAGCGCGCGUAGGCGGUCUGAUAAGCCGGUUGUGAAAGCCCCGGGCUCAACCUGGGAACGGCAUCCGGAACUGGCAGGCUAGAGUGCAGGAGAGGAAGGUAGAAUUCCCGGUGUAGCGGUGAAAUGCGUAGAGAUCGGGAGGAAUACCAGUGGCGAAGGCGGCCUUCUGGACUGACACUGACGCUGAGGUGCGAAAGCGUGGGUAGCAAACAGGAUUAGAUACCCCAGUUAGUC